rnacentral:pre_miRNA from 1 species
GCCGUGGCCAUCUUACUGGGCAGCAUUGGAUAGUGUCUGAUCUCUAAUACUGCCUGGUAAUGAUGGUGGC